rnacentral:rRNA from 1 species
UACGAAGGGGGGCUAGCGUUGCUCGGAAUCACUGGGCGUAAAGCGCACGUAGGCGGCUUCUUAAGUCAGGGGUGAAAUCCUGGAGCUCAACUCCAGAACUGCCUUUGAUACUGAGGAGCUUGAGUCCGGGAGAGGUGAGUGGAACUGCGAGUGUAGAGGUGAAAUUCGUAGAUAUUCGCAAGAACACCAGUGGCGAAGGCGGCUCACUGGCCCGGUACUGACGCUGAGGUGCGAAAGCGUGGGGAGCAAACAGG